rfam:Pseudoxanthomonas dokdonensis strain DSM 21858 contig_4, whole genome shotgun sequence.
GGCCCCGUAGCUCAGCUGGAUAGAGCGUCCCCCUCCUAAGGGGAAGGUCAGUGGUUCGAAUCCACUCGGGGUCA